CGCGUAGGCGGACAGUUUAGUCGGGGGUGAAAGCCCGGGGCUCAACCCCGGAAUUGCCUUCGAUACUGGCUGUCUUGAGUACGGGAGAGGUGUGUGGAACUCCGAGUGUAGAGGUGAAAUUCGUAGAUAUUCGGAAGAACACCAGUGGCGAAGGCGACACACUGGCCCGUUACUGACGCUGAAGCGCGAAAGCGUGGGGAGCAAACAGGAUUAGAUACCCUGGUAGUCCACGCUGUAAACGAUGAGUGCUAGUUGUCGGCAUGCAUGCAUGUCGGUGACGCAGCUAACGCAUUAAGCACUCCGCCUGGGGAGUACGGUCGCAAGAUUAAA
rnacentral:rRNA from 1 species